GGGUUGUGAGGUUAAGCGACUAAGCGUACACGGUGGAUGCCCUGGCAGUCAGAGGCGAUGAAGGACGUGCUAAUCUGCGAUAAGCGUCGGUAAGGUGAUAUGAACCGUUAUAACCGGCGAUUUCCGAAUGGGGAAACCCAGUGUGAUUCGUCACACUAUCAUUAACUGAAUCCAUAGGUUAAUGAGGCGAACCGGGGGAACUGAAACAUCUAAGUACCCCGAGGAAAAGAAAUCAACCGAGAUUCCCCCAGUAGCGGCGAGCGAACGGGGAGGAGCCCAGAGCCUGAAUCAGUGUGUGUGUUAGUGGAAGCGUCUGGAAAGGCGCGCGAUACAGGGUGACAGCCCCGUACACAAAAAUGCACAUACUGUGAGCUCGAUGAGUAGGGCGGGACACGUGGUAUCCUGUCUGAAUAUGGGGGGACCAUCCUCCAAGGCUAAAUACUCCUGACUGACCGAUAGUGAACCAGUACCGUGAGGGAAAGGCGAAAAGAACCCCGGCGAGGGGAGUGAAAAAGAACCUGAAACCGUGUACGUACAAGCAGUGGGAGCCUCUUUAUGGGGUGACUGCGUACCUUUUGUAUAAUGGGUCAGCGACUUAUAUUCUGUAGCAAGGUUAACCGAAUAGGGGAGCCGAAGGGAAACCGAGUCUUAACUGGGCGUUAAGUUGCAGGGUAUAGACCCGAAACCCGGUGAUCUAGCCAUGGGCAGGUUGAAGGUUGGGUAACACUAACUGGAGGACCGAACCGACUAAUGUUGAAAAAUUAGCGGAUGACUUGUGGCUGGGGGUGAAAGGCCAAUCAAACCGGGAGAUAGCUGGUUCUCCCCGAAAGCUAUUUAGGUAGCGCCUCGUGAAUUCAUCUCCGGGGGUAGAGCACUGUUUCGGCAAGGGGGUCAUCCCGACUUACCAACCCGAUGCAAACUGCGAAUACCGGAGAAUGUUAUCACGGGAGACACACGGCGGGUGCUAACGUCCGUCGUGAAGAGGGAAACAACCCAGACCGCCAGCUAAGGUCCCAAAGUCAUGGUUAAGUGGGAAACGAUGUGGGAAGGCCCAGACAGCCAGGAUGUUGGCUUAGAAGCAGCCAUCAUUUAAAGAAAGCGUAAUAGCUCACUGGUCGAGUCGGCCUGCGCGGAAGAUGUAACGGGGCUAAACCAUGCACCGAAGCUGCGGCAGCGACGCUUAUGCGUUGUUGGGUAGGGGAGCGUUCUGUAAGCCUGCGAAGGUGUGCUGUGAGGCAUGCUGGAGGUAUCAGAAGUGCGAAUGCUGACAUAAGUAACGAUAAAGCGGGUGAAAAGCCCGCUCGCCGGAAGACCAAGGGUUCCUGUCCAACGUUAAUCGGGGCAGGGUGAGUCGACCCCUAAGGCGAGGCCGAAAGGCGUAGUCGAUGGGAAACAGGUUAAUAUUCCUGUACUUGGUGUUACUGCGAAGGGGGGACGGAGAAGGCUAUGUUGGCCGGGCGACGGUUGUCCCGGUUUAAGCGUGUAGGCUGGUUUUCCAGGCAAAUCCGGAAAAUCAAGGCUGAGGCGUGAUGACGAGGCACUACGGUGCUGAAGCAACAAAUGCCCUGCUUCCAGGAAAAGCCUCUAAGCAUCAGGUAACAUCAAAUCGUACCCCAAACCGACACAGGUGGUCAGGUAGAGAAUACCAAGGCGCUUGAGAGAACUCGGGUGAAGGAACUAGGCAAAAUGGUGCCGUAACUUCGGGAGAAGGCACGCUGAUAUGUAGGUGAAGCGACUUGCUCGUGGAGCUGAAAUCAGUCGAAGAUACCAGCUGGCUGCAACUGUUUAUUAAAAACACAGCACUGUGCAAACACGAAAGUGGACGUAUACGGUGUGACGCCUGCCCGGUGCCGGAAGGUUAAUUGAUGGGGUUAGCGCAAGCGAAGCUCUUGAUCGAAGCCCCGGUAAACGGCGGCCGUAACUAUAACGGUCCUAAGGUAGCGAAAUUCCUUGUCGGGUAAGUUCCGACCUGCACGAAUGGCGUAAUGAUGGCCAGGCUGUCUCCACCCGAGACUCAGUGAAAUUGAACUCGCUGUGAAGAUGCAGUGUACCCGCGGCAAGACGGAAAGACCCCGUGAACCUUUACUAUAGCUUGACACUGAACAUUGAGCCUUGAUGUGUAGGAUAGGUGGGAGGCUUUGAAGUGUGGACGCCAGUCUGCAUGGAGCCGGCCUUGAAAUACCACCCUUUAAUGUUUGAUGUUCUAACGUUGGCCCCUUAUCGGGGUUGCGGACAGUGUCUGGUGGGUAGUUUGACUGGGGCGGUCUCCUCCUAAAGAGUAACGGAGGAGCACGAAGGUUGGCUAAUCCUGGUCGGACAUCAGGAGGUUAGUGCAAUGGCAUAAGCCAGCUUGACUGCGAGCGUGACGGCGCGAGCAGGUGCGAAAGCAGGUCAUAGUGAUCCGGUGGUUCUGAAUGGAAGGGCCAUCGCUCAACGGAUAAAAGGUACUCCGGGGAUAACAGGCUGAUACCGCCCAAGAGUUCAUAUCGACGGCGGUGUUUGGCACCUCGAUGUCGGCUCAUCACAUCCUGGGGCUGAAGUAGGUCCCAAGGGUAUGGCUGUUCGCCAUUUAAAGUGGUACGCGAGCUGGGUUUAGAACGUCGUGAGACAGUUCGGUCCCUAUCUGCCGUGGGCGCUGGAGAACUGAGGGGGGCUGCUCCUAGUACGAGAGGACCGGAGUGGACGCAUCACUGGUGUUCGGGUUGUCAUGCCAAUGGCACUGCCCGGUAGCUAAAUGCGGAAGAGAUAAGUGCUGAAAGCAUCUAAGCACGAAACUUGCCCCGAGAUGAGUUCUCCCUGACCCUUUAAGGGUCCUGAAGGAACGUUGAAGACGACGACGUUGAUAGGCCGGGUGUGUAAGCGCAGCGAUGCGUUGAGCUAACCGGUACUAAUGAACCGUGAGGCUUAACCUUACAACGCCGAAG
rnacentral:rRNA from 1 species